UACAGGGGGGGCAAGCGUUGUUCGGAAUUACUGGGCGUAAAGGGCCAGUAGGCGGCCAACUAAGUCACACGUGAAAUCCCCAGGCUUAACCUGGGAACUGCGUGUGAUACUGGAUGGCUUGAAUUCGGGAGAGGGAUGCAGAAUUCCAGGUGUAGCGGUGAAAUGCGUAGAUAUCUGGAGGAACACCGGUGGCGAAGGCGGUCGACUGGGCCAGUACUGACGCUGAGGCGCGACAGCGUGGGGAGCAAACAGG
rnacentral:rRNA from 1 species